rnacentral:ncRNA from 2 species
UACGUAGGGUGCGAGCGUUAAUCGGAAUUACUGGGCGUAAAGUGUGCGCAGGCGGCGUCGCAAGUCGAGUGUGAAAGCCCCGGGCUUAACUUGGGAAUUGCGCUCGAAACUACGGUGCUGGAGUAUGGCAGAGGAAGGUGGAAUUCCACGUGUAGCGGUGAAAUGCGUAGAGAUGUGGAGGAACACCGAUGGCGAAGGCAGCCUUCUGGGCCAAUACUGACGCUCAUGCACGAAAGCGUGGGGAGCAAACAGG